CCUACGGGUGGCAGCAGUGGGGAAUAUUGCGCAAUGGGCGAAAGCCUGACGCAGCGACGCCGCGUGAGGGAUGAAGGUCUUCGGAUCGUAAACCUCUGUCAGCAGGGAAGAACGGUCACUGUGCUAAUCAGCAGUGAAUUGACGGUACCUGCAAAGGAAGCACCGGCUAACUCCGGGCCAGCAGCCGCGGUAAUACGGAGGGUGCGAGCGUUAAUCGGAAUUACUGGGCGUAAAGCGCUCGUAGGCGGUAUGUCAAGUCAAGGGUGAAAUCCCCGCGCUCAACGUGGGAACUGCUUUUGAAACUGGCAAACUGGAGUGUGUGAGAGGAUAGUGGAAUGCCAGGUGUAGGAGUGAAAUGCGUAGAUAUCUGGAAGAACAUCAGUGGCGAAGGCGACUAUCUGGCACAUAACUGACGCUGAGGAGCGAAAGCGUGGGUAGCAAACAGGAUUAGAUACCCUUGUAGUC
rnacentral:rRNA from 1 species